rnacentral:rRNA from 1 species
GAUGAACGCUGGCGGCGUGCCUAAUACAUGCAAGUCGAGCGAACAGACGAGGAGCUUGCUCCUCUGACGUUAGCGGCGGACGUGUGAGUAACGCGUGUAUCCCCUACCUAUAAGACUGGGAUCACUUCGGGACACCGGAGCUAAUACCGGAUAAUAUAUUGAACCGCAUGGUUCAAUAGUAAAAUACGGUUUUGCUGUCACUUCUCGCUGCAUCCGGGCCGCAUUAGCUAGUUGGUAAGGUAACGGCUUACCAAGGCAACGAUGCGUAGCCGACCUGCGAGGGUGAUCGGCCACACUGGAGCGGAGACACGGUCCAGACUCCUACGGGAGGCAGCAGUAGGGAAUCUUCCGCAAUGGGCGAAAGCUUGACGGAGCAACGCCGCGUGAGUGAUGAAGGUCUUCGGAGCGUAAAGCUCUGUUAUUAGGGAAGAACAAAUGUGUAAGUAACUAUGCACGUCUUGACGGUACCUAAUCAGAAAGCAACGGCUAACUACGUG